rnacentral:rRNA from 1 species
GACGAAGGUGGCAAGCGUUAUUCGGAUUUACUGGGCCUAAAGCGCGCGUAGGCGGCUUGGCAAGUCGGGGGUGAAAGCCCGCAGCUCAACUGCGGAACUGCCUUCGAUACUGCCGGGCUUGAGGGCGGGAGGGGUGAUUGGAACUCCAGGUGUAGCGGUGAAAUGCGUAGAUAUCUGGAGGAACACCGGAGGCGAAGGCGAAUCACUGGACCGCUUCUGACGCUGAGGCGCGAAAGCUAGGGGAGCAAACAGG